rnacentral:rRNA from 1 species
UGGGGAAUUUUGGACAAUGGGGGCAACCCUGAUCCAGCCAUGCCGCGUGAGUGAAGAAGGCCUUCGGGUUGUAAAGCUCUUUCGGCGGGGACGAAACGGUCCGUGACAACACCACGGACUAAUGACAGUACUCGCAGAAGAAGCACCGGCUAACUACGUGCCAGCAGCCGCGGUAAUACGUAGGGUGCAGGCGUUAAUCGGAAUUACUGGGCGUAAAGCGUGCGCAGGCGGCUCCUUAAGUCAGAUGUGAAAUCCCCGGGCUUAACCUGGGAACUGCGUUUGAAACUGAGGGGCUAGAGUGUGGAAGAGGGGGGUGGAAUUCCAGGUGUAGCAGUGAAAUGCGUAGAGAUCUGGAGGAACACCGAUGGCGAAGGCAGCCCCCUGGGCUAACACUGACGCUCAUGCACGAAAGCGUGGGGAGCAAACAGGAUUAGAUACCCGAGUAGUCCCUGAGCGGGCUGGCAAGGCGCAU